CUUAGAAGCUACACUAAAUUUUGUGCAUUUACACAUUCGUGAUUUGUUAUAUAUACGUAUAAGUAUAUAAAUAAAAUUAGUGAUACAAAAUCAGUAAAUAACACUUGCCAGUUGUUUUGUGUUGAAUUUUUUCCGAUGGCUAUGAUAACAUACUUGCCCGACGAUGUGAUUAUCAUUCUAGAAGAGAAAACAUCAGCUUGGAGAAUAUCAUGAACUUUAAGUCCACGUGUGAAAGAUUCCAGGAGAUGACACUAUCUAACAAGUUUUAGGAAAGGAAAUAUUAUGAGAGCUGUCCUACGAAAAAAAAGUAUAACAGAGAAAAACAGAAGAAAAUAGUUUACAAUAUUGAAUUCAAAGAAAGAAUUAAAGCGGGAUUAUAUUAUAUCCAAAUGUUACAAUAUUAUGCGAUUUUGAAAAUCGGAAUGAAGUCGGAAAAUAAGUUAUGUGAUUCUGAUAAAGAACAAUUGGAGAGCCUUCUACGUUCAAUUGCUGAAAAUUCCAUGAUGUAUUUUUUCGUGUGGGAUCAGAUAAGUAGAAUUUCUGUACAAAAAUCAUGGUGAAAAAGUUAAUAAUGGAUUGUUAUUGAUAUUAUAAUUAUUAAGCGAAGACAAAAUUUCUUUUAAAGAAACAAUUUAUGAUCGUGGUGCAACAUUUUCAGCUACAUCUUAUUCGAUCGUAAAACAUGGCUAGAUGGAAGUGCAGUACUGUGUCUUGUGAAAAUUAAAUAUCCCGCUCAUUCAAUUUGCUCUACCGCUUUGGAACAAUUUUCUUUUUGGCGGGAUAACAAUAUUCAUGACAAUUUUUGGAAUGAAAUAGAUUCAAAGCAAAUUAUGUGUAUUCUGGAAGAAUAUAUAUUUUCGGAAUUAGAAAUCCAUCAAUUAUUAAUAACAUUAGAUCUUGAAGCCAAAUACAUAAAAUAUAUUUCAGGAUGUUUUCGAAUAUAUCUAUUGACUGUCACGUAUCAUAUCUGAGCUAGAAGACUCGGCAUACAUUGCAUUCUGAGAAUAUAUGGAAUAGUUAUUGCAGUCAUAUGGAAACCAAAAUAGUUAAAUCUAACGCAGAGAAGAAAUCAUUAAAAAUAAGGGCAAGAAAAGUUAAAUUUGCUGUUGGAAUGAUUGUAUCGCAUACAUGGCGAGAUCCCUAUAAUAAUCAUAACGGCGUAAUAAUUGGAUAGCGACGUAAAUAUGACAGAAAGUUUCAAGAUAAAUUAGACAAGUCUAUUAAGUUCCCACAUCUACGACAAUGCUCUGAACAUUAUCAUAUCUGUGAAUGUAAUCAAGUUUCAACUAGUGCUCAUCAACUGCACUACAUUAUUCUCACUGAGAAUAAUGAAAUGUGUUAUGUGCGACAAGAUCAACCAUUGAUGUGUCCACUAAAAGAAAUUAGUAACAUAGAAAUCGGAAGAUACUUCUCCAAUUUUGAAGGGACUUAUUACGAGCCGAAUGAAAGCUUAAGAAGAUGUUAUUCAAAUGAUACUGUUGCAAUAGCUGAAAUACUUACUAAACAGUAGUUUUUAUUAUUUUAAAAUAUACAACAGUUUCCUCUACAAUAUUUUUCAAUUUAGCUCUCAUUAUGAAUCUGAUUAUGCAGGGUAUCUCACAACCUCCGUACAAUACUUUAUUAGCGUGUAUUAGAGGUAAAAUAGAGUAAAAAAUUCUAAUACAAAAAUUUUAAGACUGCAAUAGUUUCUGAGCGAUCAAAGUUUGCCAAUAAUCUCAUGUAAAACUCGCAGGCUCAUGACUAUACUUAUACGCAUAUCUAUUAUCUGUUAUUAAUUGUUUUAAGUCAAGUGAUAUUAAUUUUUAGUGCGCAUCUGAUUUUAUUUAAUCGUUUCUUAUAUAUUACGCCUACAUCGUACGUUAUGGCGAUAAGCUAAUAUUAACAAAUUAUAAAUCUUACAGAAAACUUAAUAAGUGGAUAUAUUUUUGUUUUAUAUGUA